rnacentral:rRNA from 1 species
GACGAACUGUGCGAACGUUGUUCGGAAUCACUGGGCUUAAAGGGUGCGUAGGCGGCUUGUUAAGUCGGGGGUGAAAUACUUCGGCUCAACCGGAGAAUUGCCUUCGAUACUGGCGAGCUGGAGGAAGGUAGGGGUCGCGGGAACUGCCAGUGGAGCGGUGAAAUGCGUUGAUAUUGGAAGGAACGCCGGAGGCGAAAGCGGCGCACUGGAUCUCUUCUGACGCUGAGGCACGAAAGCUAGGGGAGCAAACGGG